rnacentral:snoRNA from 1 species
CCUGCCGAGGAUGAGGCGAUACCGCCCCAGACUGAGCCCUGUGAUUGAUCGGUGCCCCCUGAGGCUCU